UAUUGGGUCUUUGUUUGUAUCGAC
rnacentral:siRNA from 1 species